rnacentral:tRNA from 1 species
GAUGAAAUGCCUGAAAAAGGAUUAUUUUGAUAGAAUAAAACAUGUAUAUUUUUUACUUUCAUUG